GAUGAACGCUGGCGGCGUGCCUAAUACAUGCAAGUCGAGCGAACAGAUGAGGAGCUUGCUCCUCUGACGUUAGCGGCGAACGGGUGAGUAACACGUGGAUAACCUACCUAUAAGACUGGGAUAACUUCGGGAAACCGGAGCUAAUACCGGAUAAUAUAUUGAACCGCAUGGUUCAAUAGUGAAAGACGGUUUUGCUGUCACUUAUAGAUGGAUCCGCGCCGCAUUAGCUAGUUGGUAAGGUAACGACUUACCAAGGCAACGAUGCGUAGCCGACCUGAGAGGGUGAUCGGCCACACUGGAACUGAGACACGGUCCAGACUCCUACGGGAGGCAGCAGUAGGGAAUCUUCCGCAAUGGGCGAAAGCCUGACGGAGCAACGCCGCGUGAGUGAUGAAGGUCUUCGGAUCGUAAAACUCUGUUAUUAGGGAAGAACAAAUGUGUAAGUAACUAUGCACGUCUUGACGGUACCUAAUCAGAAAGCCACGGCUAACUACGUG
rnacentral:rRNA from 1 species